GUUGGUGAACCAGCGGAGGGAUCAUUACCGAGUUACCAACUCCAAACCCUUGUGAUUUUUGUAUCUGUUGCUUCGGCAGGCGGGCCCAGGGCGGGCUCUAUCAUGCCUGCCGAAAGACCCAAACUCUUCUAUCCUGCCCUCUGAAGAAAAGACAAAUAGUUAAAACUUUCAACAACGGAUCUCUUGGUUCUGGCAUCGAUGAAGAACGCAGCAUCUGACUGACUCGGAAGUGUCUGAUCUCGUAUGCCGU
rnacentral:misc_RNA from 1 species